CGCCGCUGGUAGUACAGGGUGCCGCCGCGCACCACGUAGCAGGCGGCCGCCUUACGGAUCUUUCGCUUGGUGUUACCCUCCGUUCCCGGCGCGUAGGGCUCCCGCUCGUUGGUCAGGUAGCGCAGGAUGGCCAGAAUGAGAGGCGAAACGCAGGAGCCGCAGGAUGCCCGCGCCCAGGCGGCGGCGACCCUUCCCCUGUGCUCAGUACUUGCGAGGCGGCGCCUGGAGCACUAUGAUCCCCCCAAAUACAAAGAUACUGAUGGGAUGGAGCGAGUCUGGCAGAAGGUCGCAAAGAUCGUCAGAACGUGACGGGCAAGAACAGCUUCUCAGACACCAGCUCCAUCUUCCCUCCCACCUGGGUCAUUCACUGAAGGCUUUGGAAGUGUGUGCUAGUACAGGAGAUC